AUCCAUAUCGCAUCCAAAAACCGCUCGGUACGUGAAUGCAUCUUCACGUGUUUUGCGCCAUAAUCUCGGGGUCGCUUUGCUAGAGCCGAACCAGCGUGAUGGACCGCGUCGCUGGAAUCAGAAACCUUCAUUGAACUUUACAAGCCCGGUGAAAUACCGAGCGCCACUGACGCUGCUUUGUUGCGGAGUGCCUCCGACUUGCGGCGGUUAAAGAGUUUAAUAAAACUUACAUUAGCUUUCUUGGAUUUUUAUAGUCCUGAAUUUAUUGCCUGUGGAAAAAGAAAGGGGCAAAAAAAGGGAUCCCUCGCCUUUCCAGUCACGGUGUUCCCCCCCCCCCUCCCGCACACCUCGCUCGCACCACCGCAUGUAUGCGUGCGUGCCACCCCCCCGCUCUCUCCCCGAUCGCGUUAUCGACGAUCCGACUCAUUUCGGCUUCAUUUUAAUUAGAAUUAUAAUUUUUAUUUCUCUCUCUUUUUUUUUUUUUCCAGCCCUGGACGCGAUGAUUGACGCGCGGCUCCGGUUCGGUGCGGGUCCCGCCCGGCGAUGCGGGGUAACGGGGUCAGUUUUCCCGACUUAUUAUGACAAAUGCGUUUAUUGCGAGAUGAUCUGAUGGCGUCGUAAAUGUUGGUUAAGGAAAAGGUGCGCGGUGUGAUUAGGGCAAAAGUGUUUUCUGGACUUCAGCUGUAACAGUCUGGAUCAAUUCGCCUCCUUUAAUCUAUUGCCCCUCCGCCCUUCUUCCUCUCACCCCAACACAGAAGGAUAUUUAAUGUGAAGGGCAAAGAGAUUUCUAGGAAUGAUAAAUCAUCGCGAAUCCUUCCUGAGGUAUAUAGGGAUGUAAGUAUUAUAUAGCCUGUAUUAACGGGCUAAUAAUAACAUCGGAGGGUGCUAAUAGCCACCUGAAAUCAAGGAAAAGCGUAUUUCGCAUCUCUGUGAUACCGUAUGUGUGUGUAUAUGACUCCUAUGUGCUCGUCUGUACAAAACCUAUGUAUGAAUUUACUAUCAGAGGUGUUAUACUGAUACGGAGUGAUCAUUAAGGCGCUAAAAACCCGACACCCAAAUUGUUAGGUUCUCCCUUAUUCCCAUCAGCGGUGUUUUUCGAUGCCCCGCAGCGUGAUGAAGGGACAAUUCCCCGCAUCGAGAAGCAGAGACCCUCUGCAAGAGGCGCUGGGAAGAAGCUGUCCAUUUUCAUUUAAAAAAAGAACUAAUCGAGAGGGUCGGGAUGAUGGGCAGAGAGAGCCGGAGCCCAGUGCCGGAGAUCGGAUUUAUUUUUAAUUUUUACAUCAAUCAGGGUAAUAAGAGCCCCCCCACCCCACCCCCAGCCAGAGCAAAACGCUCCCUGGUCUGGAAAAGCAGAGGCAGUCUCGGGCUCCAGCCAAGGUGAGCUCUGAGUUAAGCUCUUGCAAAGACCGUCGCGAGUAAAUGUGACCAGGUGAGUCCUCACCGCCCGACAAACCUUCCUCUCCUUUCUGUGGGGUGCAUCCAAAGUAACCCCACUUCAUCCCUUUGCAUUUAAACUGGGGAAGGCAGAGAAAUCCCUACAAGUGAGCAGCGUGGGGCAGGAUCGCUGAUCUCCCAGACCAGGGCGAGCGACGGGAGGAAUUCCUGCUUUCCCCAACUACUCUUAUUUGCUCUUCCCUUUAACUCGUUACGGAGUUUUUGAACUUAAGGGAUCCCGUGUCAUCAGCCAUGCAAUGCGAGCUGCUUGCUCGGAUUGCCAUCGUCCUCCGCUUUAUUGCCUUCCAGACUUUACUCUUUUUAUUACAUCAGCCUAUUUCACAACAGAUUCGGAGGGACUCUGAAAAUGUUAUGAGAGCUUGGAAAAGGGAAGGGCUGAUUUAAGCGAGUUCUGGAGAUUAAACUCUCCUGGCUCGUGGAAAUGUGUUUAUACAAGUGAUGGAUAAACAGCCGUGUUGGCAUCGGGGUGUUGAAUAAGUAUAGAUAAAAUUAUUGAACGUUAAUUGAAGCAAAACACCUGUUCUCUGUUUGCUAGAUAGAUUGGCUGUGUCUUACCUGUAAUAAAUAUAUUCUUGGGAAAAAAAAAAUCCUGGUGCGCCUCCUAUAAAUAAUGAUGAACUGUGUCAGCAUGUGAGUAUAUAAUCUUCUGUAGUAUAUAAAUUCAGACCAAGAAGACUCUUAGGAGUGUGGCUGUGAGGCAAAGAGCAGGAGUUCUCAGAUCCCUGGUGGAUGGAAACCUCACAAGAUGAUCUGCCAAAUCCAUUUGCUUUCGCUCCUCUGGAGGUUUCCGUUUGUUCAGUAGUUUAUUUUUGAUGCAUAUUCCCAUAGCUCAUCUCUUUGUAACCUUUGCUGAGAGGGACUCCAGGCGAGCAGCCGCUCCAUCCCAGAUCUGGGAGCCCCGCUCGCGUGGUGCUGUCUGUUUCCUGUGACUUCAUACAUGAAAGCCUCAAAUAGACCCCGAAAGAAAUGGGAGAGGGAACCAAUUCCACACAGCGCUCCCCUUUGAAACACACAGCUGCAAAAAUUCAUCCUUAACAAACAGCUCCUCGGGUCGGUAUUGCUGCACCGCCAGCGACCAAACACAAAACGCCUUCACAAGAUGCAGCUUUCAGGUCUGCUCCACUGCCAUCUUUUGCUGAUGUGGAAGUUUUGGCAUCAGAAAAAUAAAAGAGCGGACGAUCCUAUUUAUUUAUUUUUAUUUAUUUUUGGCCGGCAACAUAUUUAAGCACUUUUACUAUUGUUAAGGGCAGUUGUUAUCGUUUAUUAGAAUUGGCACCUUCCUUUUCCAGAUGCUUUAGCACUGAGAUGAAGGAGGUGGGGGGGAUCCGGGGGUGCGGAGCUUUCUGCUGUGCUGGGAUGGGACGGGGGGGGUCCUAUCACGGUUUCGAGGUGGUGUGCAGUGUGCGUUACUUUGGAUACGUUCACUCUUCUUUUGCACGUUGGGUUUUGAAGGCGAUAAGGAUAUGCAAGAGGGGAUAACAGCUGAGAGCGAACCUCGCGGCUAUGGGGUGUCUGGAGACCAGAUUCAGAAAUCACUCAGCCUUCAAAGGGCUGAGCGUUAAUUUCGGAUAUGAAAAGUAUGCCGAAAUAAUAAUAAUAAUUAUUAAUAAUAAUAGAAAUAUUUUAAAACGGGGAAACAGUAAUAAAACCCCAGCUUAAAGCGCUCAUAAUUCCCAAACAACGCAUUUACGCGGAUCUAAGAGAGAAAACUUCAGUCCCAAACCCCCCCGAACUCACGAGAGCGGAACAAAAAUCCCUCUUGAGGAGUAAAACUCCUUUUUUUUUCUUUCUUUCUUUCUUUUUUUUUUAAUAAAAAAUGUGAAAUAAGUUUCUGUAGCCUGAAAGAAGAGGGUUCUACCUUUGCCAUUUCCUGUGCUAGCCCUCAGUUUGAAUGCGGCCGUCUGUUAAAAAUCCGUAAGUGGUGAGAAGAAGGGGGGGGGGGGUGAGGUGGGGGGGAGGCGGAAUUCCUUGUCUGAAGAGAAGCAAAAACAAGUUACACAUGUGGGGAAUUUUCCAAGAGCCGAAAGUAUACUCCGGCUAAAAAACACAAUUCCAAAUGAGGUUUGUAAUCUCAGCAGUUAAUAAAGCAUUUCGGUCCCCUGUAAAGUAAAAGCGUAUGCGCUUUGGAAAGGGGAAGCCGGAGGAGAGAAAGUUAAAAUAAAGUUGGAUUGUUGUUCAGGAGCCCACAUUUUAGCUACCAGACUAAUCCUCCCCCCUCCUCGCCUCCCUCCAUGAAAUCAUAUCGAGCUCCCACGCAAUAGCUGGGCGAUCGCUUCGCUCCCACUGCCGCCGGUUUGGGGGUUUUAUACCCUACUGCUGCUGAGUCCCCCGCGACGAUCUGCUGUGGGGUCACCGCCAGAUAGUGGGGAACCCCUCCACCCCCACCCCAAAAAUCGUCUGAAGUCUGGGAGGGAUCUGCCUCCACCACACCGAGGCAAGGCAGUAGGGUGGGAAAAGGGCACAGGUACGAGAAUUAAGUUCUGGAGGGAGAGUUUCUGUAAAACGUGUAGCGAUAAAAGAAUGUGCAGUAAUAAAAGAAAAGGGGGAGAUUCUUUCAGACGGGCUCUUUCCGCACCGCUUUUGCCCCCCCCCCCCCCACUACACACACACACCCCGAGUCGGGCCGAUAUGGGGCAGACGGGACCUUGGCAGGAGAGCAACUCGUGGGAAAUGUGUUGGACGAACAGCAGUUUCUCGCUGCCUCUUAGCGCAGAACUGCGCAUCACGUCGCAAUCGGGGCAGUUACCACGAGGAGGGGAUUUUCACCAUCCCCACACAGCUGCUUCUCCAGGGUGAACUGGAAAUGCAGACGGUGUGCAGAAACGAAACGAUCCCACAGCUCAGCGAGAGAAUACGUAAGAAUGAUCCCCAUAAACCCGACCCCAGUUUGGGGCGAUCGGAGCCGUCUCAGCCCCAUCCUGGGGCUCUGCACCAAACCCGGCAUCGUGAGCUGAGAUGGGGAGAGCGAGGGGAGCUUCGCUUACAGAAAUAUCAUCUAAUUAGUCCACAGAUGCGGCAAAUCUUCUAAAUUAAUCGAAUAAGACUUUAAGUCGCAACAGGAGCUUUGGGUGGAGCGGGUAAGGCUGAACCUCGAGAAAGAAUCCAGCAGCACUUAAAAGGGAGAAGGAAACGUUGGAUGGCAUUAAAGAAAAGGAGUUGGCAAAACACUUCCAGCAAACCUGCAGUCGGAUACGAGCAUCUACUUAUCCGACAUUAAACCUCUCUCUUCGCUAAGACUUUAUCGGUCCAACAAUUCAUUCGAUUUUUUUUUCCUAUUUUAUUUUUCAUGGGGAAAUCUGACCAAAAAUCUCAGUUUUAGUCUUCUUUUCUUUCUUUCUCCCCCCGAUUAAUCUUUUAAUUAUUUUUAGUUUAUACAUUUCAGGUUAUUUGGGAUUACGUUUAAAUCUCCGAAAAAAAAAAAUCAGUUAAGAAUGAAUAAAUUGAAGAGUAAUAUUGAUAAGAAUUCUAUGGAAAGACCCAACAGAAAUGCAUCCUUCUCUGGGUGUCCCCUUAAACAAAAUACCGCAUUUCUUCCUAUCCUACCAAUUUGUUGGAAAACUUAAUUAAGCUCGGCUACCUUCCAUUAUUUAUAUAAACCCUCCGUCCGGGAGACUUUAAGAGGUUUCUUCUCCGGUUUCCAACAUUGUUAUUAGAAAUCCAUAAAGCAGGGGAGGGGCAGGAAAUUAAAUUUAAAGGUACCUCAUUACGGCACAACUGCUUUCCUAUGGCAGCGGACGGAGACAACACAUGGCGGCAUAAAAGGCUGAGUCCCCCCAGCACGUAGACUUGGCAAUCCUCUCGAAAUGACCUUUUAAUUCCAAGCCUAGCAAGCUUCCGUCCACACAGCGGGCUCUAAGAGUCGGCAGAGAGGGGAGGAAAAUAAACUAAAAUAGAAGAGAGGACACCGAUGCGAAUGGAAGAGCCACGCAGAUGGAAAGCGUGGGGCGGAUGGUGGUUAGUAGUGGGUUUGACUGGGUGGGCAUCAGGAGAGGUAACCGCUAUUGGGGGGGAUUUGUUCCAGAAGUUCCCAGCUUUGCUCCAAGAGGGAUUUCCCUGCCGUGUGUCUGCAGUCCCCGAUUCGUUUCCCGCUGGAUAGUGCAGAUUAAGUGGGUUUCAGCCCAACGCAGAAACAAAGAAACGAUGCUAACCGUGAAGAGUCGGAACCGAGAAUAGACGGAACUCUCAACAGACGGUGCGGAGAAGUGGAGGUGCGAACAAAGAUCGGUUUUGCUCCCGAUCUUUGUUUUAAAGGAGAGCUUGAACUUUGAGAAGACAGAGGAAGAAAUGAUCAUAGAAGCUAAAGAAGGGGGAAGACGAUCAGCUCUGCUCGCCCGUCCGCAGAAGCAGCCAACAGCUUUCUAUCCGGACGGCUGCAGCUGAUGAGAAGCAUUAAGUAUUCUCGGGAAUCUACACGUGGGAAACUACAAAAAGACCAACACGUUACGAACACCACCUCCCUCCCCAGCACUCGGCGAGGCCGAAUCCAGCACCGACUUACCCAUUCCGCUCCUUCUCUUUUUAAUUAAGAUCACUUUUUAAGCAAACUCUCCCACUCCGAAGAAAAAAUAGCAAUAAUAAUAAUAAUAAGAGCCAAGGAAAUAUAUAAAGAAGAGGCAGCCCCACUCGUUGGCAGAGCAUCCUCCCACCACUUGUUAGAGCGAACCUUCCCCAGCUCCGGCCGAUUUCGCGUUAUUUCAUUUUUCUCACUCCUUUCCUAGACUGGCGAGAGAGCAAAGGAGCCUCCAGCAGAACGGACACCUCGAAAUCCCCAAUUGCGGUGGGUGCGAAGCCACGUCAUCCCAGAGCCGACUGAGGACAGAGGUUAUGCGGCACCGGGGAAGCUGCGGGCCCGGAGGGGUGGCUGGGUGCGGGACCCCCGGUGCCGGCUGCUGCCGACCCUUUUGCACCCCCAAAGGAGGUGCGAGGGGGGAAACAUCCCCUCAUCCCCCUCCUUUAGAGCUAAGGAGCCGAGGGUGGGUGGCGGAGAGGGGAGUGCUGGGAGCUGCCGGGUGACUGGUGGGCUCCGGCUUUGCGAAAACGGUAUUUUGGGAUAAGGUGGGGGGGGAGAGGGGGGCAAGUCUCUGCCGAUUGACUUAUCUGUUAGAAAAUGCGUGUGCAGGCGGCUUCCGGCGGGGCUCACCAAUCCGGGGCGGACGAGGCUGCUAAGACCAUCCCCUGGUGUCAAUUUUAAUGGGAAACUUCACCGCUUUGCGGGGGGGGAAGAGGGGGGGGGGGGGGGUGCCGCUGCUGCCGCUGCUGCCGCCGCGUAUUUUUUAAUACGAGGACGCGCGGCUGCGGCUCACGCCGACUUUCCCGUUGUUCCUCCCCGCUCCCUCCACUCCGACGCGUUUACUCACACCGCUAUUUCCAGCCUCCCCAUUUUUGGUAUGGGGGCUAUUUUGAGAAAACCCUUUCGGAGGUGAAACAAAACCCCUUGGUUAUACCGAGGCACGAAAACCCAUCCCCAAAAAAUCCAAAGCCAAGCCCAACUGCGUGCGCUCAGCCCGAAGCUUUUGCCAUAGGGGAGGGCUCAGCUCUGUCCCCGCAGCCCCAUGGGACAAAUCCUCACGUCCCCGCAGUCCAUUUGCCCUCGGGCUGUACAAGUCUACGUGCAGGGGAGGGGAAUUUUGUAUGUUACAUGCAAUAAAGCUGCGGUGCUUUUGGGAAUGGAAAAACCACUUGUCGCGUCGGGACACACAAGGAGGAGCCGGGAGGUGACACGCAGAUCCCCAUUGUGGGGUUAGCUCUGGAGCUUGCCCGGCUCAGGAAGCCGCACCCAGCCUGCUCCGAAUAGGAUUUAUACACUGGAUUAGCUGCCUGGCCUCGCACUGCAAUUUAACAAUCACCGGGGAUUCAUUUUGUCUCUAAGAAAAAAAAUAAAUGCGCUUUGUGGCGCAAUCCUCUGCAGGGCUGCAAUUGCCAAGGGAAAAACAAACAAACAACGCAACAACAACGCAACCAAACAUAAAAACCCCAAAUCCCUACAGCAACUCAGAGGGUUCCCGGUGGUUGGAGGCACCGUUUCCAAAAUGGCUCGAGCCGAGAGCGAGAAGAAAAAGGGGAAAAUUGGUUCUUCGUUAGAAUCUCUUUAAUCCAAUCUCUUCGUUAGUAAUCCGCAUCUCCUUCUGGAAUUAAGCCUGAGGGAAAGGAGUGCUGGAAAUCUGUUCAAGCUCAUGAUGGGAGGAGAUGGUUUAUAACCGCAACUGGUUCUGUAUUCGCGGCACAUACUCAAAAAAUAAAACGGAGCGGAUUUUAGUAGCUACUAAUGGGCAGUUAUUAUAGAAAGGGCAAUCGAAGGGAUUUAAAAGAUUUUGGAAAUUAGAGGUAUAAACCGAAAAUUCAUACAUAUGGAGAGGAAGAGAGAGGAGACUUUUUUCGAAGCUCUCCGAGACCCGGAGGGGUCUUUGCUCUCUUUUCUGUGGUCUCCUUUCCCGAUGCUCCCAGGACUGAGCGCAGCACCCGGAUUGCAGCAGCUGGGUGCUACAAAGUCGGGGGCUUUUCCCCCAUUUCAGCGCCUUUCUGCCUCUCUUCUCUUCCAAUCGCUUUCCCACUUGCUCUUUCAACAGCCUUUUGUACAGCAAUGGGGAACGUAGCCAAAAAUCCUCCAUUAAUAAAGAAUAUAAUUCCUC